rfam:Desulfotomaculum kuznetsovii MPJ_scaffold_468, whole genome shotgun sequence.
GCCGAAGUGGCGGAAUUGGCAGACGCAGCGGACUCAAAAUCCGCCGGUGGCAACAUCGUGGGGGUUCAACUCCCCCCUUCGGCA